CACAAUUUCUCCUGUAAGUCGCUUUGGAUAAGAGCAUCUGCUAAAUGACUCUAA
rfam:Salmo salar isolate Sally breed double haploid chromosome ssa25, whole genome shotgun sequence.